rnacentral:rRNA from 1 species
CCCGGGCCUUGUACACACCGCCCGUCACACCAUGGGAGUUUGGUUUUACCCGAAGGCGAUGCGCUAACCGCAAGGGGGCAGUCGACCACGGUAGGGUCAGCGACUGGGGUG